rnacentral:rRNA from 1 species
AGUGAACGCUGGCGGUAGGCCUAACACAUGCAAGUCGAACGGCAGCACAGUAAGAGCUUGCUCUUACCGGUGGCGAGUGGCGGACGGGUGAGGAAUAUAUCGGAAUCUACUUUUUCGUGGGGGAUAACGUAGGGAAACUUACGCUAAUACCGCAUAUGACCUACGGGUGAAAGCAGUGGAUCUUCGGACCUUGCGCGAUUGAAUGAGCCGAUGUCGGAUUAGCUAGUUGGCGGGGUAAAGGCCCACCAAGGCGACGAUCCGUAGCUGGUCUGAGAGGAUGAUCAGCCACACUGGAAGUGAGACACGGUCCAGACUCCUACGGGAGGCAGCAGUGGGGAAUAUUGGACAAUGGGCGCAAGCCUGAUCCAGCCAUACCGCGUGGGUGAAGAAGGCCUUCGGGUUGUAAAGCCCUUUUGUUGGGAAAGAAAAGCAGCAGGUUAAUACCCCGCUGUUCUGACGGUACCCAAAGAAUAAGCACCGGCUAACUUCGUG